GACGAACGCUGGCGGCGUGCUUAACACAUGCAAGUCGAACGGUAAGGCCCUUCGGGGUACACGAGUGGCGAACGGGUGAGUAACACGUGGGUGGUCUGCCCAGCACUUCGGGAUAAGCCUGGGAAACUGGGUCUAAUACCGGAUAGGACCACUGCCUGCAUGGGUGGUGGUGGAAAGCUUUUGCGGUGUGGGAUGGGCCCGCGGCCUAUCAGCUUGUUGGUGGGGUGAUGGCCUACCAAGGCGACGACGGGUAGCCGGCCUGAGAGGGUGACCGGCCACACUGGGACUGAGAUACGGCCCAGACUCCUACGGGAGGCAGCAGCGGGGAAUAUUGCACAAUGGGCGCAAGCCUGAUGCAGCGACGCCGCGUGAGGGAUGACGGCCUUCGGGUUGUAAACCUCUUUCAGCACCGACGAAGCGCAAGUGACGGUAGGUGCAGAAGAAGGACCGGCCAACUACGUGCCAGCCGCCGCAGUAA
rnacentral:rRNA from 1 species